UUGAUGGAAUAAAUAGGCCUCCUGAACUUGAUGCUGAGCCCCACUGAUGAAUGUGGUAGUGCUCAAGGCUGAGCCCAUGUGAACUUUGAACUUAGAUAUUGCUGGGAAACAUUAGAUAAACAAACCUGCAGUGUUGUGGGACGUGAUAGACAAAGCGCCAUGCUGAGGAACCUGAGGCAGGAUCCCCUGACCUAACAAUCUGCAGAGAAGCAAAGCGUUCCUGAAGGAAGUGAAGUUUAAGCAGAGGGAGCUGAUUGAUUAGCCCGAGGCUGACAGGAGCAAAAACUCUGGCUCUCUGACUUUCCUUCUGAUCUGGUUUCCCUACUCUGAUGUGUCUGAUGUGGUUGACUACCCUUGUGUUGUACUGACAACCCAC